UACGUAGGGGGGCAAGCGUUGUCCGGAUUUAUUGGGCGUAAAGAGCGUGUAGGCGGCCGUACAGGUCAGCUGUGAAAACUCGAGGCUCAACCUCGAGACGUCGGUUGAAACCGUACGGCUAGAGUCCGGAAGAGGAGAGUGGAAUUCCCGGUGUAGCGGUGAAAUGCGCAGAUAUCGGGAAGAACACCCGUGGCGAAGGCGGCUCUCUGGGACGGUACUGACGCUGA
rnacentral:rRNA from 1 species